GGGUGUGUUGGGGCGACUGGCUGCCCCACCGGGCCGUAAACCCGGAGCUCUCUUGGAGCAUUGAAGGUUCGAAUCCUUCCACACCCACCA
rnacentral:tRNA from 1 species